AUUGAACGCUGGCGGCAUGCCUUACACAUGCAAGUCGAACGGUAACGCGGGGGCAACCCUGGCGACGAGUGGCGAACGGGUGAGUAAUACAUCGGAACAUGUCCAGUAGCGGGGGAUAACCUGUCGAAAGAUAGGCUAAUACCGCAUACGAUCUACGGAUGAAGCGGGGGACCGCAAGGCCUCGCACUAUUGGAGUGGCCGAUGUCAGAUUAGCUAGUUGGUGGGGUAAAAGCCUACCAAGGCGACGAUCUGUAGCUGGUCUGAGAGGACGAUCAGCCACACUGGAACUGAGACACGGUCCAGACUCCUACGGGUGGCAG
rnacentral:rRNA from 1 species